UCGCUCCUCCUCCAAGAAGCCAUCCUGUCCCUCCGAGCUCAGGGUCUUGCACCCGCCCCACGGUACUUGGAGCGCAAAGGUCCCCAUCUCCAUGCAGGGCCCAGCUCCGCUCGAUUGCUCCUUGACCAUGCAGUUCCACACCUUCACACGCAGAUGGCAGAGGACUUGGUGGCGCGUACUCCCUUCCCGUGGGGGAUUCACUGGGCUGCUCAUCUGGGGUCCAGCACAGAGCACUGACCCUGUCCUUAGGACCGCACGGAAAUCCACUUAGAUGGGCAAAUGCUUGCACACCGAACACCUUCAGUUCUGCCCUCAGCCCUGCUGUUGACCCAGGCUGACAAGGAUGCCUGCUGAUGGCUGCACAGGCCUUGGAAACUCACAUGGAGCUGCCUGGGUUUCUGACCACUGAGCCAUCUCUCCAAUUCUUCACCACCGUAUGUUAUCAGCAAGACUGACUUAUACAAACAGGUAAAUCAAGAGAGGAUUGACAGAAGAAUUUCAUCAGAUCCAAGUUUCCAGAAUGGUGAAAGGGAGCGAGGCUGCCGCACAACCCCAGAUGGAGACGAACAAGGGGAGGAUGGCAGGAAAUGGGUGGUGGGUAGUGGGGGACUGCUAUCCAGCUCAUGGCUGGUAAGUGAAUACAUCUAGGUUCUGGAACUUCUCUUGGUGGGCAUCAUGGAAAACUAGCUCAUUUUUUUUUUUUUUUUAAACUUAUAAAGUGUAAGAAGCUGCCAAGCUAACAUGGGGUUCUGACUGUCACCAUGGCUCCUGGGAAAGCUCAUCCUGUGUACUGGGUGAUACUAGUUCUGGAGUAAACUGUGAGAGUACCUAACAAAAAGUAUUCCAGGGCUGGCAGCUGAGAGUGGCCGAGUAUCUGAACAGAGUCCUAUAAAAACCUUAGGGUCACCUACAUAGCCUCUGAGGGACUAUAUGCCCUAUCCCCCCAAUAACCAAAAAAAUCUUUUCAAAACCUUCAGGCCACACAGAUAGUAUUUCCCAGGAAAUAAACAGCCUAAUGUUUUGGCAGCAGUCAAAAGCUACACUGAAGAUGGAUAUAGAGGUUAUUGCCUAUAGACCCAGCACUUAGAGGCAGAGGCAGGAGAAUCACUGCAAGCUCAAAGCCAGUCUGCUUUGUAGGGAGUGGUAGGCCAUCCAGGGAUAGAUAACAAGACUGUCUCAAAAAAAAAAA